rnacentral:tRNA from 1 species
GGCCAGUUAGCUCAGUUGGUUAGAGCGUGGUGCUAAUAACGCCAAGGUCGUGGGUUCGAUCCCCAUACUGGCCA